GUAGGUGAACCUGCGGAGGGAUCAUUACAAGUGACCCCGGCUACGGCCGGGAUGUUCAUAACCCUUUGUUGUCCGACUCUGUUGCCUCCGGGGCGACCCUGCCUUCGGGCGGGGGCUCCGGGUGGACACUUCAAACUCUUGCGUAACUUUGCAGUCUGAGUAAACUUAAUUAAUAAAUUAAAACUUUUAACAACGGAUCUCUUGGCUCUC
rnacentral:misc_RNA from 1 species